rnacentral:ribozyme from 1 species
CCCGUACUAACCCCCUCACCUCUGCUCUGCUUUGUCCUCUCACAUGGCGCAUCCCGGCUCCG